rnacentral:rRNA from 1 species
CCUACGGGAGGCUGCAGUGGGGAAUAUUGGACAAUGGGGGCAACCCUGAUCCAGCCAUGCCGCGUGUGUGAAGAAGGCCCUCGGGUUGUAAAGCACUUUCAGUGAGGAAGAACGCCUGGUGGUUAAUACCCAUCAGGAAAGACAUCACUCACAGAAGAAGCACCGGCUAACUCCGUGCCAGCAGCCGCGGUAAUACGGAGGGUGCGAGCGUUAAUCGGAAUUACUGUGCGUAAAGCGCGCGUAGGUGGCUUGAUAAGCCGGUUGUGAAAGCCCCGGGCUCAACCUGGGAACGGCAUCCGGAACUGUCAAGCUAGAGUGCAGGAGAGGAAGGUAGAAUUCCCGGUGUAGCGGUGAAAUGCGUAGAGAUCGGGAGGAAUACCAGUGGCGAAGGCGGCCUUCUGGACUGACACUGACACUGAGGUGCGAAAGCGUGGGUAGCAAACAGGAUUAGAUACCCCAGUAGUC